GGACCACAGCCCCUCGAUGAGGCCACACCUCCACCCUCCAUCCACCAGGGGGCAGGUCAACAGCCCCGCGAUGAGGCCCACGCCCGUUCUGCUGCGGCUCCGUCACCACCGUCUCCUGGCAUGACAACACAUCAGAGGAAGGGACUGGCGGAGGAGCUGAAGGUGGAUGUGCGACCUGUUGGUCUCGGAACGGCAGUCACAGUGCGGCAGGACAAAGCGAGAGCGUCUGCUGUGAUGCGUCCACGCUGGGACCCGGCCGCUGGGAGGCCGUGGAUCACAGUGACAUCACGGUGACAUCACGGUGACAUCACAGCCCGGACGACGGAUGGCUCACUUAAGAACCGUCCGGCUCGACCACAACUCAAUCAUAGGAACGUUGCCGUG
ensembl:lncRNA